rnacentral:rRNA from 1 species
UACGGAGGGUGCAAGCGUUAAUCGGAAUUACUGGGCGUAAAGCGCACGCAGGUGGCUGAGUCAGUCGAUUGUGAAAGCCCUGGGCUUAACCUGGGAAUUGCAGUCGAUACUACUCAGCUAGAGUCUCGGAGAGGAUCGGUGGAAUUCUCGGUGUAGAGGUGAAAUUCGUAGAUAUCGAGAGGAACACCGGUGGCGAAGGCGGCGAUCUGGACGAUGACUGACGCUGAGACGCGAAAGCGUGGGGAGCAAACAGG